rnacentral:rRNA from 1 species
AUUGAACGCUGGCGGCAGGCUUAACACAUGCAAGUCGAGCGGGGGAAGGUAGCUUGCUACCGGACCUAGCGGCGGACGGGUGAGUAAUGCUUAGGAAUCUGCCUAUUAGUGGGGGACAACAUCUCGAAAGGGAUGCUAAUACCGCAUACGUCCUACGGGAGAAAGCAGGGGAUCUUCGGACCUUGCGCUAAUAGAUGAGCCUAAGUCGGAUUAGCUAGUUGGUGGGGUAAAGGCCUACCAAGGCGACGACCUGUAGCGGGUCUGAGAGGAUGAUCCGCCACACUGGGACUGGAACACGGCCCAGACUCCUACGGGAGGCAGCAGUGGGGAAUAUUGGACAAUGGGGGGAACCCUGAUCCAGCCAUGCCGCGUGUGUGAAGAAGGCCUUAUGGUUGUAAAGCACUUUAAGCGAGGAGGAGGCUACUUUAGUUAAUACCUAGAGAUAGUGGACGUUACUCGCAGAAUAAGCACCGGCUAACUCUGUGCCAGCAGCCGCGGUAA